GACGGAAGGUGCAAGCGUUGCUCGGAAUCACUGGGCGUAAAGGGUGCGUAGGCGGCCGUGCAAGUCUGGCGUGAAAGCCCCGGGCUCAGCCCGGGAAGUGCGCUCGAAACUGCGCGGCUCGAGUGCCGGAGGGGAGAGUGGAAUUCCUGGUGUAGCGGUGAAAUGCGUAGAUAUCAGGAAGAACACCCGUGGCGAAGGCGGCUUUCUGGGACGGUACUGACGCUGAGACGCGAAAGCGUGGGGAGCGAACAGG
rnacentral:rRNA from 1 species